GAAUUUAGAGUUUUUCCUACUCACACGAAAGUAGUGAAAACAUUUUGCGAAUAUUGGAAAGUAUUUUUAUAGAAGAAUUGUUUAUAAACACAUCCCAAUCAAUUAUGAAGGUUUUCUACGUUUUACUUGUUCUCAGCUUGAUUGCAGUCACUUUCGCUGCUGAAAAUUGUACACUGGUUAGAGAGAAGGCCGAAAAUUCUAAUGGCGGAUUCAAGCCUGAUUGUUUGGAAAACGGUGACUAUGCUCCUGUUCAAUGCAACGGUAGUGUGUGCUGGUGCGUUAACAAGGAAGGCAACUUGCAAACCUUUCCCCAAAACGGAAAACCAGAUUGCAAGAGGGAAUAGAACAUUGAAUCACAAGAACAAUGUUUGAAAUUUAAAUUGUCGUAAGAAGCGUAAUUAACUUUUUUAUGAUUUAAGUGAUUCAUUCAUUGUAUUUUCCAUUUCUAAAUGUAAUUAUUUACAUACAUUAAUAGCAUUGCAUUGAGACAAUUCCUUUGUUAAAAAUUUUUGUAGUAUAUAAAGUGAUAAUAAAAACUGUGUAGCGGUUCAAAGAA